CAAAUAUAUUUGAAAUGAUACUAAAGUUCUGAUAUUGUAUUAUUUUAACACUAUGUAGCAUGCUAUUUUUUCACACUUCAAGAUCCUAAUUUGGUUUAGGAGUAGAGCCUAGCAGAGAUCUAUAUUAAAAAGUUGACUUUCAUGCAUUUGUCACCUUCAGCAUCCUGAAAUAUUAAUGGACACUGUGAUGGUUAAUAUUGAGUGUCAACUUGAUUGGAUUGAAGGAUACAAAGUAUUGUUCCUGGGUGUGUCUGCAAUGGUGUUGCCAAAGGAGAUUAACAUUUGAGUCAGAGGACUGGGAGAGGCAGACCUCCCUGCUCAAUCUGGGUGGGCACUGUAUAAUCAGCUACCAACAUGGCUAGAAGAAAGCAGGCAAAAGAAGUUGGAAAGGACAGACUUACUGAGUCUUCUGGUCUCCAUCUUUCUCCCAUGCAGGAUGCUUCCUGCCCUCGAACAUCAGACUUCAAGUUCUUCAGCUUUUGGACUCACGGACUUACACCAAUCAUUUUUCGGGUCUCUUGGGCUUUCAGCCACAGACUGAAGUCUGCACUGUCAGCUUCCCUACUUGUGAAGUUUUGGGACUCGGACUGGCUUUCUUGCUUCUCAACAUGCAGAUGGCCUAUUGUGGGACUUUACCUUCUAAUUAUGUUAGAUUUUUAUCUCCUUGGAAGGCGGAGUACAGACCAAGAGAUGUGAGGAAUAACACCGGUCAAUUUUUAUGAAAGGGAGAAGAAAUACAUUGUAAUAAGCUCCUUUACCUCUUAAGAAGCCUUAGCUAUGCUCCUCUUGUGACUUUUUUUUCCAGCAGAGGUUUAAGUAGAUCCAGCUCAAUCUUUAGAAACCCAGCAAGACAUUCUCCUUUGUUACUGGUGUUCUGGCCAUGGUAUCCUCUUCAAGUACCUGAACUAUAUAGACUCAUCAUGAGUCGCUUUUAGAAUUGAGUCCUUUUGCUUUCUUCUACUUCAUUUCUUGCUUAAGGAUCUAGGUAACUGCAGCAAAAUAGAUCCUCACUCCUCGUUGACAGACCAACUGGGUGCUUUCCACAUUUGUGAGAUCUGGAAUAUUCUUCUUUCCAUUGUGCUUCUUCCCAUCCUAUCCAGUCCCAUCUUAUCAAAGAAACCACUUAUGAUGGUUGCUGCACUCUAUCCUGACCUUCCCUUGGAUAAUCUAUUCCACCACGAUGUAGGGUAUCUGCUCAAAAUUGGCAUUUAAUGGGGAUUAUGGGAAAAACAAGCAAAUGUCAGAAGGUUUUGCAAUGAAUUAAUCAGAGAUUUGCAACAAUAAUAUUUAAAGUAAAGUAAGCAUGAGAAAGUUAGAGAAAGAGAGAGAGAGAGAUCUUUACAUCAUAAGAACAGAUUCUUACGUUAUCUAACAGAAUCUUAUUUAACAGAUUCUUUUAACGUCAUGAAAACUAAGAGAUUAACCACUGUGAUAGUUUUCAACAGGUCUGUGGUAGGUACAUUAGUUGAUCAUAAUCAGUUCUUCGGAAGUCAUAUUUAACUUGAUUUUUUAUGGUAUACUUUUAUCUUAAUUAGAACAGAUAAUUGGCCGGGCGCGGUGGCUCAAGCCUGUAAUCCCAGCACUUUGGGAGGCCGAGACGGGCGGAUCACGAGGUCAGGAGAUCGAGACCAUCCUGGUUAACACAGUGAAACCCCGUCUCUACUAAAAAUACAAAAAACUUAGCCGGGCGAGGUGGCAGGCGCCUGUAGUCCCAGCUACUCGGGAGGCUGAGGCAGGAGAAUGGCGUGAACCCGGGAGGCGGAGCUUGCAGUGAGCUGAGAUCCGGCCACUGCACUCCAGCCUGGGUGACAGAGUGAGACUCUGUCUCAAAAAAAAAAAAAAAAAAAAAAAAAAAGAACAGAUAAUUAAACACGCUAUUUUUGUUUUCAUUCUCUUGAAUUCCCUUAUUUUUUUUUUUCCUAAUAAAGAAGCAAGGAGAAAUUUUAGAACCCAAAUUUUUCCUUGGAGAUGCUGAGCAAUAUGUCAUACAUGUGAAUGGCUUUGAUUAAGGAGAUUGUUGAUAAAUUAACCUUCCUGACCAAAAUCUGCUGAUCGAUCUCAAGCUUCUUUUUUCUAUUGAAGCAAAAACUGUCAUAAGAAAAUGGACUUUUCCAAGGUCACACAAGCAAGCGAAGUUCUUAUUUUUUCUCCUAGCUUUUUGAAGUCUCUUUAUUUCCCAUUAUCGGGAUCUAAUUCAGAACAUUCUGUGUAGUAAUGGGCAUUUCAAACCCACGGUAAACCCCUCUGUGCCUUUCUUUCUGUACAAUUAUUAAAUAAUUAUACCUUCAUUUCUUUCAAAGAGCAAAAUAAUUGCUGUCUUUCAGGGUCUUUUAAUUUAUUCUUCAUAUGUGGUUUGUAGCUUCCAUUAGCUUUUCCAGAUGCUACAAACAUGAAAAAAAAAUGCAAAUAGUUCACAUUAAUGAUGAGCCAUGUGUGCUUUUCAGCUACGUUUAAGAAUAAUAUCCUUUGGUGUGAUUUUCAGCUAGUUUUAAGAAUAAUAUUGUUUGGAAACAGAGACUUCAACUUCUGAUAGUGAGCAAUUGGAAGUUGUGAAAUCCCUCAGUGAAUACUACAAUGUAUUUUUCAAAUAUCACAUCAAAAAGUUCUCAAUAUCUGAUUAACCUAAGUAUUUAAUUAGUUUUGAAAAUGUGAUAGAGAAAAAUAGUUAACACAUGGAAUUUUCUGACAGAUAAUCUAUUAACUACAGAAAUUUUUAUUGAUGCUCCUAUAGCUACUGGGUGAUGAACCAUUUACCAAAUCUAAAGUCUAUAUGACUUCACAGGAGCAGAUGGCAAACAGUGACUAGGUUGAGAUAAUUUCUGCUUCCCUAACAAAAUUUAUUUUAUUAAAAAAGAUAAUUAUUUAGGAUUCUGCUGCAGCAUUUUUAGAUUUUAAACAAGAUUAAGAAAUAUGCUUAUUUUAGGCUGUGAAUAUGGCUUGCUAUUUCAGGCACACUGUAUCAUUUUAAUUGUAUUUCAGUACCAAAUAUAAAAUAAUAUAGUUUAGAUAAGGAAAACCAAGGUGAUUUUCAGAAAUUAGCAUCUUGUUUCUUAGUAGUUGCUAAGCAAGUUAGUUGACCUGCUUGAUCUUCUAUCUAUUUAUUUUUACGCAGGAAUUAAAAAUGUGUGUAAUGAUAAUAUUUUUUGAUUUAAAUAUUUUUAUUUAAAACUGAUAUUCCUAAUUUUUUUCAUAGUUAAUUCUAUAUAUUUAAAAAAAUUAUUCAUGCUAACAAAUGUAAAAAUACUUAUUUUUAUACUUGUAUGUACUAUGAGUGAAAAUAUAUUCAGAUUUUGUGUACUUUGAAUUCAAUUACAGUUUGUUUUUAAAUCAUUUAAAUCACUGAGUAUGAUUUUACAUUAUGAUAGAAAUAGAAAAUAUAAUAAUGGAGUUUAAAAACUUUUAAAAUAAAAAAUAGAUUUAAAAAAUCUUCAAAGUGAUGGUCUGCUCAUUUUUUUUUUUCUUUUUCAACUUUUACUGUAGAUUCCAGAGGUACAUGUGAUGGAGAAUAUAAUGAAAACGUUGCUAUAUAUUUUUCUUCUAUGAAGAGAAAAUAACACAGUUUUGAUAUAAGUGGAAAGAUAGGACAGAGAAUACAAAUGGUUUAUGUUGUGUCCACAGUUCAGAUCAAUGGCUUAAUGGGAAUUGUUUCAAUAGGUUUCUGCUAAGAAUGGCCUCUUUUAGGAAUUGAUUUUUAACCUCCACUUAUGUAGGACUUGAGUGGUCAAAUUAAGUGAGAAAGUUCAUCCUCGGCAUUUGUGGGAAGGUUAGUUAUGACUAUUGGUAUGAAGUCUUUCUAUAGGGAGUGUGACUGUGAAAAGAAUAACGGGAGGCCAAUGAGAUUCCCUGUAGAGAAUGACACAUGGAAGAAUCUGCCUUGAUAUUUCUUAGCAGGAAAAAAGGAAUGAGAUUAAGUGGUGUUGCUGCAUCUUUACUAUGCCCUGCAUACUGUGCUUGACACAUUACAAGCACAUAUCAUUUUAUUUUUCAAACCACCCGUGGUGUAAUUAAACAAUAACAUACACAUUAAUAAUAAGCAGUUUGUAGGCACUUUGGUCCAGACGCUAUUAUCAGAAAUCAUGCAUUCAAUACUGACAAUAUCCCUAUGUGAUCAUCUAAUUUAGAGAUGAAGAAAAGACACAGCGUUAAGAAGCUUUACCAAAGAGAUAGAGCUUGUAAUUGUGGAACCAGAGUUUGAACCCAAGAAAUUUACUUACAGAAUAUGUGCUCAUAACCACAAGCUAUAAUGCCUCUUCAUUAGGCACUAUUAUCGCCCUUUUAGAUUAGUGGAACUAAAGUUUAUAAAAGUUAGGUAGUAUGCCCAAUGUCACACAACUCAUAAGGAGGGAGAUUUGGAAUUUGAACUCAAAACUGUCAGCCAUUAAGCCUAUUUCCUUUUCCCAACAUGACUUUGCCUUGUGAAUACUGAAAGAGAGUUUCAGUAGCAAGCAUUAUAAGGAUGUGCUUAAGAAGAAAGUCAUUUAGAGGACAUUUUCUGAAUUUAUUUAUUUAUUCAUUCAUUCAUUUACUUAUAAGUAAGUCUGUUAAUAUGUUAUCUAACCAUGUCCUGCUUUUCAAAGCUUAUGACUCUUUGCAACCUCAGAUACCAUCUCCUGACUGCUAACUUAUCUUCCGUAUCCCAUCGAGCAAGGUCUCCUCAUCUCUGACACUUUCCACCACAGAAAGAUCUUCUGCCUUUCAUCUUAAGACCCAGCUUUGUGUGUAUGUCUUUGUAAACCCAUCAGCUAUUAUUUAAACCCCUCCCCACUUACCGAAGACUUACUAUUUACCUAAGACUAUUAUUUAACGUGUUAACUAAACAUUUAUGUAUUGAGCUUCCCGAUUUUUGUGCCAUAUGUGUAUGUCUUUUCUUCUAAUUUAUUCAGCUAUAAGUACAAUUCUCACACUUUAUCUAUCUUAGAGUGAAAGAUAUUGAAAGUAUGCUAGCUGGUAGAAUAAGGGUUGACUUCAUUUUUAACAUGCAUGGUUCUAGUGCUUGAUCAUCACUCCCCUUUCUUGGAGAUGCUGAUGGUACUCAGAGACAGUCUCCCCAUGUUCAGUCAUCAGCGUUCCUGGACAAAGGCAUCUUGAAAUCAUUUUCAGAAGAAGGCUUAUUUGCCUUGCAGAUGACUUUGUUGAAACAUAAUUGUUAGGAUCUGAA
rnacentral:lncRNA from 1 species